AGAGUUUGAUCAUGGCUCAGAACGUACGCUGGCGGCACGCCUAACACAUGCAAGUCGAACGCAGUAGCAAUACUGAGUGGCAGACGGGUGAGUAACAUGUGGGAAUCUGCCUUGUGGUUCAGGACAACAUUGGGAAACCGAUGCUAAUACUGGAUAAGCCCUUACGGGGAAAGUUUUAAUGCCAUAAGAUGAGCCCGCAUUUGAUUAGUUAGUUGGUGAGGUAAUGGCUCACCAAGACAAUGAUCAAUAGCUGAUCUGAGAGGAUGAUCAGCCACACUGGGACUGAGACACGGCCCAGACUCCUACGGGAGGCAGCAGUGGGGAAUCUUGCACAAUGGAGGAAACUCUGAUGCAGCGAUGCCGCGUGAGUGAAGAAGGCCUUUGGGUUGUAAAGCUCUUUUGUAGGGGAAGAUAAUGACUGUACCCUAAGAAUAAGGUCCGGCUAACUUCGUGCCAGCAGCCGCGGUAAUACGAAGGGACCUAGCGUAGUUCGGAAUUACUGGGCGUAAAGCGCGCGUAGGCCGUUGAGUUAGUUAAUUGUGAAAUCCCAAAGCUUAACUUUGGAACUGCAAUUAAAACUGCUCGACUAGAGUUUGAUAGAGGAAAGCGGAAUACAUAGUGUAGAGGUGAAAUUCGUAGAUAUUAUGUAGAACACCAGUUGCGAAGGCGGCUUUCUGGAUCAACACUGACGCUGAGGCGCGAAAGUAUGGGUAGCAAAGAGGAUUAGAUACCCUCGUAGUCCAUACCAUAAACGAUGAUUGCUAGAUGUUGGAAAUUUAUUUUCAGUAUCGCAGCUAACGCAUUAAGCAAUCCGCCUGGGGAGUACGACCGCAAGGUUAAAACUCAAAUGAAUUGACGGGGACCCGCACAAGCGGUGGAGCAUGUGGUUUAAUUCGAAGAUACGCGCAGAACCUUACCAACCCUUGACAUGUCUGUCGCGAGUUUAGGAAACUAGACUUUUCGGUUCGGCCGGACAGAACACAGGUGCUGCAUGGCUGUCGUCAGCUCGUGUCGUGAGAUGUUGGGUUAAGUC
rnacentral:rRNA from 1 species